AUUUGGUUACAUAUAUUUUCUGUGCAGGGAAUGUGUUUACAAUUGGGCUGCUGCUGAAAUUUAAUUGGGCUUAAGGGAUGAAGAGUGUUGGACCGUUGAUUGAUUGGCUCUGCUGCCACUACAUUGGGCCAUUGGAAUUGGGAGGAUAAGGCCUGCAGAUUCUAAUAAAAAUGUUGCUGCUAUAAUUGGGCCGAGACACUGGAACGCUGCCGUUUUGAGGUCUGAAGCUGAGUUUGGUUCCAAUUAAGUGGAACGGCGUCGUCUGGUGCAUCACUAUUGUGCAGGGGUCUCUUCCCCUCAUUUCCAUUUGCAAAGCUGCCCGAGAAAAUCAUUUGGAGGAAAAGGAGAGAACCCAUGAGCUAGGACUCUUGCGCGACGCAGAAAAAAACAAGGCGAGAAAGGAAGAAGAAGCUCGAGCCCCUAACCGGACCUUGACCAGAGCUGACCAGAAAAGAUGAUGUGGAGAUGAUCGGAGGGCUGGGAAAGGAAACGAACGGUGACCGUCCGGUGAAGAGAAGAUUGAAGCGUCAUGAGCAAGUUUCCUUUUUUCCCUCUUUUCAUUUUUUCUCUUUUCUUUUCAAACCCUAUAAAAGGGGGCUCCUGCCAUGUAAAUACACACAGACUCUUAGACUCUUGAACAAACACUUUCCAUUUUUCUAGUUUUAGAUUAGGGUUUUGUGUUUCGUGCUUUUGGAGCUCAAAUCACGGUGGUGACAGCCCGCAGUGGCUCCGAUUACACAUUUGUUCGGUAUAUUUUUGUAAUUUUCGUUCUUCGUUAAUAAUACAUAUGGUUCUCUGCGUUUCUGUUCUUUCUGAUUAUUCUGUGUUUCGUGCUUCGGUGUUUCUUGUGUUGUUAUCAUUAAAAAUCGAAUUGGACUUUGUGAUUCUGCAUUCUAUGAUUCCUUUUGGAAUCAAAUGACUCUGUAAUGAGCAUUUUUC
rnacentral:lncRNA from 1 species